AACGAACGCUGGCGGCAGGCCUAACACAUGCAAGUCGAACGCCCUAGCAAUAGGGCGUGGUAGACGGGUGAGUAACACGUGGGAACCUUCCCUAUAGUACGGAAUAGCCCAGGUAAACUUGGAGUAAUACCGUAUACGCCCGAAAGGGGAAAGAUGUAUCGCUAUAGGAUGGGCGCGGCGUCGGAUUAGCAAGUUGGUGAGGUAAUGGCUCACCAAGGCAGCGAUCCGUAGCUGGUUUGGGAGAAUGACCAGCCACACUGGGACGGAGGACCGGCGGAGACUCCUACGGGGGGCAGCAGUGGAGGAUCUAGGACAAGGGGCGCAAGCCUGAUCCAGCCAUGCCGCGAGAGUGAUGAAGGCCCUAGGGUUGUAAAGCUCUUUUGUCGGGGACGAUAAUGACGGUACCCGAAGAAUAAGCUCCGGCUAACUUCGUGCCAGCAGCCGCCGUAAGAC
rnacentral:rRNA from 1 species